GGCCGGUUAGCUCAGCUGGUCAGAGCGUGGUGCUAAUAACGCCAAGGUCGCGGGUUCGAUCCCCGUACGGGCCA
rnacentral:tRNA from 1 species